rnacentral:misc_RNA from 1 species
GCCCGUCACACCAUGGGAGUGGGUUGCUCCAGAAGUAGCUAGUCUAACCGCAAGGGGGACGGUUACCACGGAGUGAUUCAUGACUGGGGUGAAGUCGUAACAAGGUAGCCGUAGGGGAACCUGCGGCUGGAUCACCUCCUUAAUCGAAGAUCUCAGCUUCUUCAUAAGCUCCCACACGAAUUGCUUGAUUCACUGGUUAGACGAUUGGGUCUGUAGCUCAGUUGGUUAGAGCGCACCCCUGAUAAGGGUGAGGUCGGCAGUUCGAAUCUGCCCAGACCCACCAAUUGUUGGUGUGCUGCGUGAUCCGAUACGGGGCCAUAGCUCAGCUGGGAGAGCGCCUGCUUUGCACGCAGGAGGUCAGGAGUUCGAUCCUCCUUGGCUCCACCAUCUAAAACAAUCGUCGAAAGCUCAGAAAUGAAUGUUCGUGAAUGAACAUUGAUUUCUGGUCUUUGCACCAGAACUGUUCUUUAAAAAUUCGGGUAUGUGAUAGAAGUAAGACUGAAUGAUCUCUUUCACUGGUGAUCAUUCAAGUCAAGGUAAAAUUUGCGAGUUCAAGCGCGAAUUUUCGGCGAAUGUCGUCUUCACAGUAUAACCAGAUUGCUUGGGGUUAUAUGGUCAAGUGAAGAAGCGCAUACGGUGGAUGCCUUGGCCCCAGAGGCG